rnacentral:rRNA from 1 species
AACGGAGGGCGCAAGCAUUAAUCGGAAUUAUUGGGCGUAAAGAGCUUGUAGGUGGUUUUAUAAGUCAUAAUUGAAAUCUUGUGGCUCAACCAUAAAAGCGUUAUGAAACUAUAUAACUAGAGUUUUGUUAAGGGCUAUAGAAUUCUUGGUGUAGCGGUGAAAUGCGUAGAUAUCAAGAGGAAUACCAACGGCGAAGGCAUUAGCCUGGACAAAUACUGACACUGAGAAGCGAAAUCGUGGGUAGCAAACAGG